UNUGACUUGAGUGCAGAAGGGGAGAGUGGAAUUCCAUGUGUAGCGGUGAAAUGCGUAGAUAUAUGGAGGAACACCAGUGGCGAAAGCGGCCCUCUGGUCUGUCACUGACGCUGAGGCUCGAAAGCGUGGGUAGCGAACAGGAUUAGAUACCCUGGUAGUCCACGCCGUAAACGAUGAGUGCUAGGUGUUAGGCCCUUUCCGGGGCUUAGUGCCGGAGCUAACGCAAUAAGCACUCCGCCUGGGGAGUACGACCGCAAGGUUGAAACUCAAAGGAAUUGACGGGGGCCCGCACAAGCGGUGGAGCAUGUGGUUUAAUUCGAAGCAACGCGAAGAACCUUACCAGGUCUCGACAUCCCGAUGCUAUUCUUAGAGAUAGGAAGUUACUUCGGUACAUCGGAGACAGGUGGUGCAUGGUUGUCGUCAGCUCGUGUCGUGAGAUGUUGGGUUAAGUCCCGCAACGAGCGCAACCCUUAUUGUUAGUUGCCAUCAUUAAGUUGGGCACUCUAGCGAGACUGCCGGUAAUAAACCGGAGGAAGGUGGGGAUGACGUCAAAUCAUCAUGCCCCUUAUGACCUGGGCUACACACGUGCUACAAUGGUCGGUACAACGAGUUGCGAGCCGGUGACGGCAAGCUAAUCUCUGAAAGCCGAUCUCAGUUCGGAUUGGAGGCUGCAACUCGCCUCCAUGAAGUCGGAAUCGCUAGUAAUCGCGGAUCAGCACGCCGCGGUGAAUACGUUCCCGGGCCUUGUACACACCGCCCGUCACACCACGAGAGUUUAUAACACCCGAAGUCGGUGAGGUAACCUUUUAGGGGCCAGCCGCCUAAGGU
rnacentral:rRNA from 1 species